GCCUGUCCUAUGCCCAUAUCAAACGACCUCAGGAAAAACAGUCUACACUGGGCCUUCUUGAAGGUAGACGGACACCAAGUGCAAUUUUUUGGAGUCCAUUUUCUCUGGGAUUCAGCCAGCACACAGCUGGGGUCAGAACUGGAAUCUCUGUUUAUCUGGAGUUUGGAGAACAACACUGGCUUGCCAUCUGUCCACAUCCAAUGCCCCAUGGAUCCAGUCAGCCCUGCAAACAGAAAUUACUCAGUCAAGGACCUACAGCAGAGAGCAGGCAUGCUGGGCACUGCUCCAGGUGGCCACUCCUGUGCUCAGGAUGUAACAGCGUUUCCUGUAGUGAGUCCAGCCAGAGGGACAGUCCAGACUUAGUGCCUUACUCGACUACAAGGCAGGAGAGAUAGAGAGGGAGUAAAAGGUCUGAAGUAUUAGGAGGAGCAUCUCCCAAGGGGACCUCUCCCGGUUUGUGCUCACUGAGCAGGUGACCAGUCCAGGACCAGAUGG